GACAGAGGGGGCAAGCGUUGCUCGGAAUUACUGGGCGUAAAGCGUGCGCAGGCGGUUUUGUAAGCCGGAUGUGAAAUCCCCGGGCUCAACCUGGGAAUGCCAUUCGAGACUGCAUAGCUAGGGUGCGGAAGAGGGAAGCGGAAUUUCCGGUGUAGCGGUGAAAUGCGUAGAUAUCGGAAGGAACACCAGUGGCGAAAGCGGCUUCCUGGUCCAGCACCGACGUUCAGGCACGAAAGCGUGGGGAGCAAACAGG
rnacentral:rRNA from 1 species